AUACGUAGGGGGCAAGCGUUAUCCGGAAUCAUUGGGCGUAAAGGGUGCGUAGGCGGCCUUAUAAGUCAGAGGUCAAAGGCUACGGCUCAACCGUAGUAAGCCUUUGAAACUGUAGGGCUUGAGUGCAGGAGAGGAGAGUGGAAUUCCUAGUGUAGCGGUGAAAUGCGUAGAUAUUAGGAGGAACACCAGUGGCGAAGGCGACUCUCUGGACUGCAACUGACGCUGAGGCACGAAAGCGUGGGUAGCGAACAGGAUUAGAUACCCUGGUAGUCCACGCCGUAAACGAUGAGUGCUAGGUGUCGGGGGUCAAACCUCGGUGCCGCAGUUAACGCAUUAAGCACUCCGCCUGGGGAGUACGUACGCAAGUAUGAA
rnacentral:rRNA from 1 species